rnacentral:rRNA from 1 species
GUAGGUGGCAAGCGUUGUCCGGAAUUAUUGGGCGUAAAGCGCGCGCAGGCGGGGUCCUUUAAGUCUGAUGUGAAAGCCCACGGGCUCAACCGCGGAGGGUCAUUGGAAACUGGGGGACUUGAGUACAGAAGAGGAAAGCGGAAUUCCAAGUGUAGCGGUGAAAUGCGUAGAGAUUUGGAGGAACACCAGUGGCGAAGGCGGCUUUCUGGUCUGUAACUGACGCUGAGGCGCGAAAGCGUGGGGAGCAAACAGGAUUAGAUACCCUGGUAGUCCACGCCGUAAACGAUGAGUGCUAAGUGUUAGGGGGUUUCCGCCCCUUAGUGCUGCAGCUAACGCAUUAAGCACUCCGCCUGGGGAGUACGGCCGCAAAGGCUG